AGGGAGAGUGACGGAGGAAGCAGAGAGAAAGAAAGAAAAAAAAAAAAAAUAAGAGAAAGAGAGAAGAGAGAGAAAGACGGAAUCAGACAGAGAGAGAAGGGCAAAAAAACUUUAGAGAGAGAUAGAGAGAGAUCGGGCGGUUAAAAAAUGACAGAGCAAGAAAUAUCACAAGCCUUGGAAUCACUUCUCCAAGAUUGCUCCCGAUCAUCGUCAAACCCUAAUUCCGCCUCUACUCAACUCACUUCUCUAAACGCCGUCGUUCAGCACCUCCAGUCCAAGCUCGGCCUCGACCUCUCUCACAAGGCCGAUUUCAUUCGAGCCCAGAUCCAACAAUUCCUUUUCCAGCCGCCGCUGCCGCCUCCACAGUCGCAGCACCCUCACCCUCCUCCUCCUCCUCACCGAAAUGACCAUGCUGCCCUUCAACAAAAUCCUAAUUUCUAUCCCGUUCCCGCCCCCACUGUCUCCUCUGCCUUUCACUCUUCCUCUACGCAACCGCUUGCUUCCGUCAAACCCGAAACGCUUUCGGUAUCGAGCACCGAGGUUUCAAAACAGAGUGGUCCUAAUAAAGCUAAAAGAAGAGGUGGGCCAGGCGGUCUUAACAAACUUUGUGGUGUUUCACCUCAACUUGAGACUAUUGUUGGGCAGCCAGCUCUUCCAAGGACCGAGAUCGUGAAACAGCUGUGGGCUUACAUUAGGAAAAACAAUCUUCAAGACCCAAGUAACAAAAGGAAAAUAAUUUGCAAUGAUGAGCUGCGCUUGGUGUUUGAGACCGACUGUACGGAUAUGUUCAAGAUGAACAAGCUGCUGGCUAAACAUAUCAUUCCUCUCGAACCCACCAAACAGCUGGGUUCUAAGAAGCAAAAGAUGGAUGAGGAGACUGCAGAGAAACAAACUAUAUCUGCUCCUUCCGUAGCAAUUUCUGAAGGACUUGCAAAUUUUUUUGGUGUUGGCGUGAAAGAAAUGCUCCAAUCAGAGGUCUUCACACGAUUGUGGGAAUACAUAAAUGUCAACAAUUUGGAGGAUCCCCGUAAUCCAAUGGUGAUACUAUGUGAUGCAAAACUUCAAGAACUCUUUGGUUGCCAAAGCCUUCCUGCCUCGAGAAUACCAGAAGUUUUGGCACGUCAUCAUAUAUUUAGAACAUGAUAGUGGCUAAUCACAGCUGGCUGGUUAGUGGAUAUGAGGAUUCCAGUGGCUUGUGGAUUCAUUGACAACAUUUGGUGUUAACACCUGCAAUCCAGCAUCGUGUCUGAGAAGCAAAAUAGUAGAUGUGGUUUCUUCAUUUAAACGGCAUGUUCUUAUUAAGUAAUGAAUGAAGUAGUGCAAUGGUGUGACAGGCGACAACAAGUUCUGAAGUGAAAUUGGUGUUGCAAGCUAAGGGUUCUGAUUUAUCUAAAUUGUUUUCAUAGGUCAGAUUGGGCAUUGGGAUUUUCUAACAACUGUAGUAUGUAUAUGAUAGGACUGUAGAAAAAUAAUGUUGUCCAGAUGAUGAUUUCAACUCGGUACAGAUAUGGAAAGUUGUAUUUAUUUUGUAAAUGUGUGUAAUAGUUGCUUGUGAAAUGGUAUUUGCCUGAUUUUUAGA